rnacentral:rRNA from 1 species
UACAGAGGUCCCAAGCGUUGUUCGGAUUCAUUGGGCGUAAAGGGUGCGUAGGCGGCGCGGUAAGUCGGGUGUGAAAUCUCGGAGCUUAACUCCGAAACUGCAUUCGAUACUGCCGUGCUUGAGGACUGGAGAGGAGACUGGAAUUUACGGUGUAGCGGUGAAAUGCGUAGGAUAUCGUAAGGAAGACCAGUGGCGAAGGCGGGUCUCUGGACAGUUCCUGACGCUGAGGCACGAAGGCCAGGGGAGCAAACGGG